UGUUUUUAGGUGUUGUAUAAAAGAGAUGUUGCAGCUGAUAGUAUGUCUCCCAGUCAUCUUUCAUUUGUAAUUUUAUUCACUGAUUUUAACAAGUUUUGUUUCUGGCCUGUGCAGAUAUUCAUUGUUACAAUGAAUUUGAUUCAUUUAUAUGGUCAAUCAAUUGCAAUUGGCAGAUCAUUAAAAACGUUUGACUCAAAUCUACUUCUAUUGCGAUUUUGGCAGAUCAUUUUCUCUCCUAUUUGUUUGGCUUCCCGUUUCACACUUUUAGGAGUAAAGUGGGGAAAUCAUGUUUUCUUUUAUAUACUAACAUUUUUCUAUUUUUCUGGUGAAAUAUGACUUGAUGUGCAGAGGGCUCCUGCUUUUAUAUCAGAAUUGCUUCAGAUUAUACCAAAUGCACAUUACUUCAAGAGAGGAACCUAUGAUUUAAAAAAGAUUGUAGAAUAUGCAAAUAAAAAGGACUUCACAUCUAUUGUAGUUGUACACACCAAUCGCAGGGAACCAAGUAGGUGGUGCUUUUGAGUAAAGAAGAUCCUACGCAUCUAGAUCUUAUAUUUUCAAACAAUUCGCGAUAUGCCCAUGCUAGGUCUGACUGAAAUAGUAGUGCCUGUAUAUUUUCGAGAAAAAAGAAUUUAAAAAGAUUGAGUCUAAAGGUAAAAAGGAUGAAGAUGGCGAGAGUGAGAAAGUUCCUGACCAUAAAACAAUUGCCCGACUUCAGGUUAGUGUGAAUUUAUUUUUACGUAUUGUUUACCUACCAUUUCAAAACUCAAUAUCCAUCGACUAGUCAAUAUAAAUUUGUCUAUGAUUUUUGUUUCAUUAUACUUUCCCUGCUACUUUUCAUUGCUUUUCUUGUGUGGCUGAAUGGAUGUCAUAUUAGUGGUGGGCUGGUGGCAUGGCACCUUAAAGUAGUAUCAUUCUUAUACCGGGUAUAUUAGUUUAUGGGUCUUGUGGUUCAGAUAGUCAACUUCUGUAAUUUAGGGUAGUAUUAUUAUAUAACUUGCGUCUAAAGUAGAUAAUAGAAGAUAAGUAAGACUCAAGAGAGAAUGAUUCUUGAAAUGUUAUCAAUGCACUUCAUACCUCUGGCCAGCAUACUCGUACUUGGUGGAUACGGCAUCCUCGGGUUGAGUACCAGUAAACUCCCGAAUUCGACAACUCUCAAAACUGAAUACUUUCUAAUAUCACUAUUUUUUAUAAACCCUUUUCCAGCCUUCCCUUGGUUAGUUAUUCAGUUAUAAAUUAUUUCCCGGUUUUGCCCCUCUGUCCCUCAAUUUACACUUGUUUAAUAAGAUGUUUUCUAACUAACUAAUAACUAUACACUCCUCAA